rnacentral:rRNA from 1 species
CGGCGUGCUAUACAUGCAAGUCGAGCGAACGGACGAGAAGCUUGCUUCUCUGAUGUUAGCGGCGGACGGGUGAGUAACACGUGGAUAACCUACCUAUAAGACUGGGAUAACUUCGGGAAACCGGAGCUAAUACCGGAUAAUAUUUUGAACCGCAUGGUUCAAAAGUGAAAGACGGUCUUGCUGUCACUUAUAGAUGGAUCCGCGCUGCAUUAGCUAGUUGGUAAGGUAACGGCUUACCAAGGCAACGAUGCAUAGCCGACCUGAGAGGGUGAUCGGCCACACUGGAACUGAGACACGGUCCAGACUCCUACGGGAGGCAGCAGUAGGGAAUCUUCCGCAAUGGGCGAAAGCCUGACGGAGCAACGCCGCGUGAGUGAUGAAGGUCUUCGGAUCGUAAAACUCUGUUAUUAGGGAAGAACAUAUGUGUAAGUAACUGUGCACAUCUUGACGGUACCUAAUCAGAAAGCCACGGCUAACUACGUGCCAGCAGCCGCGGUAAUACGUAGGUGGCAAGCGUUAUCCGGAAUUAUUGGGCGUAAAGCGCGCGUAGGCGGUUUUUUAAGUCUGAUGUGAAAGCCCACGGCUCAACCGUGGAGGGUCAUUGGAAACUGGAAAACUUGAGUGCAGAAGAGGAAAGUGGAAUUCCAUGUGUAGCGGUGAAAUGCGCAGAGAUAUGGAGGAACACCAGUGGCGAAGGCGACUUUCUGGUCUGUAACUGACGCUGAUGUGCGAAAGCGUGGGGAUCAAACAGGAUUAGAUACCCUGGUAGUCCACGCCGUAAACGAUGAGUGCUAAGUGUUAGGGGGUUUCCGCCCCUUAGUGCUGCAGCUAACGCAUUAAGCACUCCGCCUGGGGAGUACGACCGCAAGGUUGAAACUCAAAGGAAUUGACGGGGACCCGCACAAGCGGUGGAGCAUGUGGUUUAAUUCGAAGCAACGCGAAGAACCUUACCAAAUCUUGACAUCCUUUGACAACUCUAGAGAUAGAGCCUUCCCCUUCGGGGGACAAAGUGACAGGUGGUGCAUGGUUGUCGUCAGCUCGUGUCGUGAGAUGUUGGGUUAAGUCCCGCAACGAGCGCACCCUUUAGGCCUAGUUGCCAUCAUUAAGUUGGGCACUCUAAGUUGACUGCCGGUGACAACCGAGAGGAGGUGGGGGAUGACGUCAAAUCAUCAUGCCCGUUAUGAUUUGGGCUACACACGUGCUACAUUGCACAAUACAAAGGGCAGCGAAACGGCGGAGUCAAGCAAAUUCCAUAUAAGAGGGUGCAGUUCGGAUUGUAGUCUGCAACUCGACUACAUGAAGCUGGAAUCGCUAGUAAUCGUAGAUCAGCAUGCUACGGUGAAUACGUUCCCGGGUCUUGUACACACCGCCCGUCACACCACGAGAGUUUGUAACACCCGAAGCCGGUGGAGUAACCUUUUAGGAGCUAGCCGUCGAAG